UAUGUGAUCGUCUCUCGCAUAUCAAUAAGCGGAGGAAAAGAAACUAACAAGGAUUCCCCUAGUAACGGCGAGUGAAGCGGGAAGAGCUCAAAUUUGAAAUCUUAAAGGGUUUCCCUUUACGAAUUGUAGUUUAAAGAAGUGUUUUCUGUUGAGGUUUUGGUAAAAGUUCUUUGGAAUAGGACAUCAUAGAGGGUGAGAAUCCCGUAUUUGACCUUUACUUUCAACUUUGUGAUACACUUUCAAAGAGUCGGAUUGUUUGGGAAUGCAGUCCAAAAUGGGUGGUAAAUUUCAUCUAAAGCUAAAUAUUGGCGAGAGACCGAUAGCGAACAAGUACCGUGAGGGAAAGAUGAAAAGAACUUUGAAAAGAGAGUUAAACAGUACGUGAAAUUGUCAAAAGGGAAGCGUUUGACACCAGUGUUGUUUUUCUGAAAAUCAAUUAAAGAACUGUUUAUGCUAAGCUGUUUAGACUUUAUCAGCUAUACUGUUUAGUUUUGAGCUUUUCUUUAAUGCACUUUUCAGUUAACAAGUCAACAUCAAUUUCUUUUGCUGUAAAAAAGCUUGAGGAAGGUGGCUUGAGAUUCGUCUUAAGUGUUUAUAGCCUCUUGCCUAUGCAGUCGGAGAGAUUGAGGUCUGCAGCGUAGAUCCUUCGGGGCUAAAUGCAUUUGUGCUAAGUUAUAGCAUUUUAUAGACAACUUGUUGACUAUGAUUUGUCUUGUAGCUUACUCGCUUAUGUUAUUUUACCUACGCUUAGGAUGUUGAUCUACAGAGCGAGAGU
rnacentral:rRNA from 1 species